GAAUGUUACCGUUCUUUUAGAAUUUGUCUAGCAGGUUUUCUGGUUUUCAUUGGAGAUCUCUA
ensembl:snRNA U7 U7 small nuclear RNA